AGAAACAUGGAAGCCUGUCCAUCUCCCACUCAGUCUGCCUCUUGUUCUCCCAGCGUCAGCUCUGCUGCACCCAGUGGGUCCCAGGCAUGGUGGCCCCUCCUGUGUUCAUUCAGUAUUCCUGGCCUCUGAGGGGCUCUCCACUCUUUUCCUUCCUUCUCCCAUCCUAUCAUUAUUUCUUCUUCUUUAUCACCUCUGAGAACACUUUCAGGUAAAAUAGAUAUGGACUGGGUCAGGUCAUGCCGUUUUUCUGCUCAAAACCCUCCAGUGGCUCUCAUGUAACUCAAGCCCAAAUCCUUACAAUGCUUCCAAUGCCUCAUGUGACUUGGCUGCCCGUUUCUCUCAGACCUUAUCUCUUUCCAUUCUCUGCCUCCCACAGCCCUCCUGGCUCUUCCUCACACACAUCACACCGGUUAUACCUUAGCACCCCUACAUUUUUAUGCGUGGUUAAUCUCCUCAUCUCCUUCACAUCUUUGCUUAAGUCACCUACUUCACACAAAAACUUGUACAUGAAUAUUCAUAGCAGCACUAUUCACAUUUGCCAAAAGGUGAAACCAACCCCAGCGUCUACCAGCACAUAAAUGGAUAAACAAAAUGUGGGGUAUCCAUACAAUGGAAUGCUCUUUGGCCAUAAAGAGGAAUGAAGCAUUGAUACAUGGAACAAUAUGGAUGAACCUCAAAAACAUUAGGUGACAUGAAAGAAGCCAGACACAACGGGUCACACAUUGUGUGAUUCCAUUUAUAGAAAAUGUUGAGAAUGGUCAAACUAUACAGACAGAAAAGAGAUUGGUUGCCUAGGCCUGGAGGGAGGGAGGAAUGGGGAAUGACAGCUGAUGGGUACAACGUUUGUUUGUUUGUUUGUUUGUUUUUUUAAAUGGGUUAUUUAAGAUUUAUUUAUUGAUUGAUUUAUGAUAGAGAGAGAGAGGCAGAGACACAGGAGGAGGGAGAAGCAGGCUCCAUGCCGGGAGCCCGACGCGGGACUUGAUCCCAGGACCCCAAGAUCAGGCCCUGGGCCAAAGCCAGGCGCUAAACCGCUGAGCCACCCAGGGAUCCCAAGGUUGCCGACAGUAGCAGCUUCAUGCAGGAGGCCACGGAAGAGCUGUGGCCACAAACUCCCACAUGGCUCGGGCCAUGGGACAGCAGUGAGCAGCUGCCACCUGGAGACCUGCCUGCGCCUGAAAUGUGCAGCUCUGCACUUAAAAAAAAAAAAAAAAACUGUGGUAAAAUAUAACAUAAAAUUUACCAUUUUAAGCAUUUUAAAGUGUAGUGGCAUUUGAAGUUCAGUGACAUUAAGUACAUUCACUGUUAUGUAACCGUCACCACCAUCCGCCUCCAGAACAUUUUCAUCAUCCCGGACUAAGACUCUGUACCCGUUAAACAUGAAUUCCCCACUCCCUUCUCCCCGCCAGCCCCAGGCAACCGGCAUUCUACUUUCUGUCUCUAGAAAUCUGGCCACUCUACACACCCCAUCUAAGUAGAAUCCUAUACGUGAAAUCAGCCCUUUGUAUCUGGCUUAUCUUACAGAGCAUGAUGUCUUCAAGCUUCAUCCAGACACAACAGCACACAUCAGAAUUCCCUUCCUUUUUAAGGCUGAAUAAUAUUCCAUCGCGUGUAGACCACGCUCAGUUUAUCCACUCCUCUGCUGAUGGGCACCUGGCUUCUUUCACCUCGUGGCUAUCUCACCACUGAUGCUGCUGUGAACAUGGGUCUACAGAUAUCUGUUCGAGGCCCUGCCUCCGGGCUCUAUUCAUCCAGGGGGUAGGUAUUCUCAUCUCUGCCUUACAAGCGAGAGGAGGCUGAGGCCCUGGAGGCCGCGGCGCCAGCCCCAUUGCGAAGUGAGCAGGGCAGCCGAGCUGGGACUUGAGCAUACAUCUCUGACUCCAAGUCCCAGCUGCCACACCAGGGGAGCCUGGUGGCCUCCGUGGCUCUCAUCUGGCCCCCGAGUGCAUGCAUCUGCUCAUCAGGCCUUUCCAAAAUAACAGUAUAUUAGCAUCUGUGGGAAAUGAUGUUUUUCCCAAUUAUUCAGUGCUCCUGCCCACGAGGCGUGCACUCCUUGCUGUGGACCUUGGACCUGUCCUCGUGCUUCACUUUGGCCGGUCCAGGGGGAAGAAGUCACAGACGCUCAUCGUCUCAGGCAGGAGGUUCGGUCCCGCUCCUUUCCCUCGCUGGGAGGACGAUCUCCCAGGUGCGGGCCGCCUCCACAGCCUGGGUCCCAGAGUGAAGCAGUCACGUGGACAGAGGCUCCGCUAACCGAGCAGGGAGCCGGCUGCCGCGGGUCUGCAGUCCACGUGGAACAUGGACCACGCACCAGUGUGUGUUGUUGGGGGUCACUGAGAGUUUGGGGUUCUUCCUUAUUCAGCAUAAACCAGCAAAAGCUGCUUGGUACGGCUUCUGCUGUUUAGCACUUUGGAAAGUUCACCUGCAAUUCCAAAUAUGUGGCUCCUUUGAAAAAUUAAGAUUGCCUCCUCUGGGCUCACAGUGGCCGCCAGCGGGCAGACCUGCGGAGUCCCAGCUGCUUUACAGGGAGCCUGUGUCUCCCCACGAGCCGCGGUCCUCAGCAAUCUUCCCUGCCCCAGCCAGGAUCUCUGGACGAGUCCCCAGGUUCUGCAAGAAGUGUUGGUGCCAUGCCCUGGGGCUGAGAGGAAGCCACCUGGCACCGGCCUGGGCCCCAGAGAUGCAGGCUCUAAUCAGUGGCCGGCUGGCUAUGUGAUGUGGGACUGUCACUCUCCUCCCUGGGCCUGUUUUUUCAUCCAUGAAUGAGAGGAGAUUCAGCCAGAAGAUCUCAGGGCACCUCCAAGGUACCACUGUGGCCAGAGAACCCCAGGCUUUCCUGCUGCAGAGACUGUGCUGGCAACUCUGGAGAGAGUGGCUGAUGGCGAUGUUAGCAGGCUCCCCGCCUCCACCUCAUGGCCUCAGAGAGGGCCCCACGGGGACCUCUGUGACAGGAACCUGGCCUUGCACUGAAGAAUAUGCCCUGGACACACGGAAUGGGACCCCCGAGCCCCCUUCCCAGACCUAGAGCACCCCUCCUCACUUUCGAUCUGACCGCAGGCAGUAUAUGGAGCAUUUCAGAGAUAUUCCUUAGGUUUUCAGGUGGGCAAACCUUCCUGCAAGUCACACUCACUCGUUCCUCGAUGGAAACCUCCUGAGGCUGAGUACACUGUGCUCGGGCCUCAAUCUCACAGGAUGGAGGAGAUGGAGAGGACUUUCUGAGGCCCUGACCACUGGCUGAUGAACUCGCUGGCCCCAAAAGGUCAGCUCCAGGUUCCCAGAGCCAUACAGGCCUAAGCUCCAUGAAGCAUACCCAAGCCAGGGACCCAAGAAGAACGGCUGGCUGCUUUAGGAACCCAUGAAGGGUUCAUGGAGCUUUGUAGCCUUCUGAACCCACUGCCUCCAUCCUAUUAAAUGUCUCUGAGGGGAGGGAAAGUUUGUGCAUCCACAAAUCCUAUGUGUGCAGUCUGUGAAUUUUCUCCAAAUGAACAUACUUCUGUAACUCAAAUGGAGAAAGAGAAUGCCAUCACCACCCAAGACAAAACCCCUUCCUCAUUCUUUUCCAGCCCACACCCCAAGAGCGCCUGAGGCCCUGACUUCUAACAGCAUGGGUGAGCCCUGCCUGGCUUUGAACUUUACACAAAUGGAAUCACAUGGCAUUA